UGUCGGUUGGCUGAAUGCGUGGUGCACAGGCAGUAGUAGCAGACACGAGCUGUUUACGCUGCUUUUCUCUGUAUUUUCUCUACUACUAAUAAACAAUCAAACAUAAUUUUUUUAAACGCACCCCAUAAAUAUACACGAACCCAUUACUACCGCAAGAUUAGGCCCAUUAAACUUAAUCCAACCGCUAGGCUUCAUCUAAUCCGUUCUACGUGUGCAUUUAGCAAUUUAUGUUGGCUGACCUUACUCCACCAUCCGCUACCUCUCUUCCGUGAUUAGCCCCGACCUUCGCUACCUCUCCCGUGAUUAGCGCCGACCUUCUCCACUCAAUCCCUCCCAGUAGAAUCCCUUCUGCCGCUACUAUGCAAGCCAUCGCCGGGGACGCACGAGAUGCCUGUCGUCACCACGCACACGAGCCACGAUGGGGAGAGACCGAGAGAGGGAGAGGUGGCCAGCCAUGGUAAGGUGUCGUUCAUCCGGCGAGCGUGGAGAAAUUGGGACGGGAGGAAACAAAGAAACCCCCACGCGCCCACGCCCACCACUGGAACCGUCGCCCCGCACCAGAUGCCUACACGGAUGGUGGCCGAGCGGAGGAGGGGGAGGCCGAAGUGCUCGCCGUCCCCUUCCGCAGUUCGGCGCUACCCGCACGCUGGAGGGGGUCCCCAGCACAGACCGGAUCCCCAUCUAUGGUCGGACGCUUCGACCUCCUGGGUAGGCAUGGCAAGUCCCGCAUCCGCGUCUGACACCGUCCCGCCUCGGCCGACGGCCACCUCUUCGCCGAGUGGAGCGUCACCGUCAGUGUCGUCUCCGACUGCCAUCGUCGUCACCGACUCCAUCAAGAACACCGUGUAUGUGAAGGCAAGGAGUGUUUCCUGGGAAGGCAUUUCACCUCACUAUACCCGCAGGUACGUUCCUCCCCACACACCCGCCGCCGCCUCAUGUCCAUCUCGCUGCGCCCUUCCCAUUAUGGUGUUUCACUUUCACAUCUCUCCUCUGAGGCACGGGCGUAGCGAGGCGCGAUGGCCACUGUGUGGCGUGCGCGGCUCGGCGGGCUGAGGGAGCGCGGGGUUAAUGGCCAGAGGGAGUGCAGCGGCCGGAGGUGAAGGGCGAGCGUGAACUGCGGUCGAGGUCCAUACUUGCAUUCCCCCCUGUCUUUUUGUGUCAACUAGCUGCCAUCUAUUCGCCAACAUCUGCUGUUGUGCGCAAGAUUUAGUUAUCGGAGUGCGCACACCACGUGCUUGUGUUGCUGUUGUGAGGCCAUGGUGGAGGAGGGGGUGGCCCUGUUCUAUGGCGGCGCUGUUGGGGAGAGGCUGGUGGAGGACGUGCAGAUUGCGGUGACUCGACUGAGACAGGCAAUAAGCAUCGGAUUAUACAUCGUAUUCGGAGCUAUAGCUUUUAAUAUUAAUGUAUUUUCAAAGUUGCUAGCCUAUGCUUAUAUGGGGAGCUACAGCUUGUAGAUGUAUUCAGAAUGAUUUUCACGAAGUUGUGACAUUGUCUAACAAUUUGACAUUUGCUCACUGGGAAUUGAAUGAAAACAUCUACUAAGAAAUUAAAUGUGUAUACAAGUGAGCAUUCAUCUCCUUCUUUAUGUUCUCUUCCGAAAUGUGUUUUUUAAGCUUAUCAAUUUCGUCAGUAUAGUUGGAGAGUUAGUUUAUGUGCUUAUUCCCAGUUGACUAUGCCCAAUUCACUUAA